UACGGGAGGCAGCAGUGAGGAAUAUUGGUCAAUGGGCGGGAGCCUGAACCAGCCAAGUCGCGUGAAGGAAGAAGGAUCUAUGGUUCGUAAACUUCUUUUGCAGGGGAAUAAAGUGCAGGACGUGUCCUGUUUUGUAUGUACCCUGAGAAUAAGGAUCGGCUAACUCCGCGCCAGCAGCCGCGGUAAUACGGAGGAUCCGAGCGUUAUCCGGAUUUAUUGGGUUUAAAGGGUGCGUAGGUGGUUUGAUAAGUCAGCGGUGAAAGUUUGCAGCUUAACUGUAAAAAUGCCGUUGAAACUGUCGGACUUGAGUGUAAAUGAGGUAGGCGGAAUGCGUGGUGUAGCGGUGAAAUGCAUAGAUAUCACGCAGAACUCCGAUUGCGAAGGCAGCUUACUAAGCUACAACUGACACUGAAGCACGAAAGCGUGGGGAUCAAACAGGAUUAGAUACCCUGGUAGUC
rnacentral:rRNA from 1 species